CCUCCCCUAACUCCCCAAAACAUUGGGAAGAUGGGCCUUCUGUCCUGGAAGGGCCAGUCUCCUGGGCAGAGCGCUAUGCAUAAGAAGGAAAGCCGUGUUACUCAAUGGUUCUACUGAACCACUAAGCAACAGGGGCUCUGGGGGCACUGUGGAGAUAGAGAACCCUUAGGAAGGCGAUGCUGGAUCCUAUGGGUCUCAACAGAGGGCCUUACGGGGCCACUGUAACAACCAACCACGAAUGGGAGGCUCAACACAACUGAAACGCACGUCCUCACAGUCCUGGAGGCCCGAACUCCAAAACCAAGGCGCCAGCAGGGCCACGCUUCCUCCACGGAGCCUCGGGGAGCAGACGGUCUUGAGACGAGACUUGCUCCCGCAACCCUUUCCCAGCUGCAGCUGCCUCUCCGCCAUCUCUGCCUCCGUGGCCACGCGGCAUCUUCUCCCUGGCAUGGGCUGAACCACCGCAUCUCGGGCAGGUCUGAC
rnacentral:lncRNA from 10 species